GACGCAGGCCCUGGGCUACAGCAACCUUACCAGCCCCUCCAGCUUAGAGGUGGCAGUGGCUCUCUGCGGCUGCGAUUUCUUUCUCGGAGCGUCCUCCCCAUCCCGUUCGGCCUCUGCCUCCACCGUCGUCUCUGUAACCCGUUCCCUGUGGGAGAGUCCCUGUUGCGGCGUUCAGGGGUUUCGGUUUUCUGGCCGAGCAGUGAUUAACGCGAGGGAAGGCGCUGACGGCAAGGUGGCAGGAAGAAAAUUCCAACACAGACCACAACACCUAUGGACCUGGAAAACAUUGUGCUCAGUGAAAGAAGCCAGACACAGAAGGACAAUGUUGUAUGAGGUCUUACUCUGUUGCCCAGGCUGGACUGCAGUGGUGCAAUCCUAGCUCACUGCAGCUUCGACUUCCCGUGCUCAAGUGAUUUUCCCACCUCAGCCUCCCGAGUAGCUGGGACUACAGGUGCGUGCCAUCACGCCUGGCUGAUUUUUCUUGUAUUUUUUUGUAGAGAUGG
rnacentral:lncRNA from 1 species